GUGGGGCAUGGUGGCACAUGCCUGUAAUCCCAGCAGUCUGGGAGGCUGAGGCAGGAGGAUCACAAUUUCAAAGCCAGCCUCAGCAAUGGUGAGGCACUAGGCAACUCAGUGAGAUCCUGUCUCUA
rnacentral:sRNA from 1 species